rnacentral:rRNA from 1 species
CCUACGGGAGGCAGCAGUGGGGAAUCUUUCACAAUGGGGGAAACCCUGAUGCAGCGACGCCGCGUGAGUGAAUCAGUAUUUCGGUAUGUAAAGCUCUAUCAGCAGGGAAGAAGCAAGACGGUACCUGACUACGAAACCCCGGCUAACUACGUGCCAGCAGCCGCGGGAAUACGUAGGGGGCAAGCGUUAUCAGGAUUUACUGGGUGUAAAGGGAGCGUAGACGGUAUGGCAAGUCUGAAGUGAAAGCCCAGGGCUUAACCCUGGGACGGCUUUGGAAACUGUUAGACUAGAGUGCUGGAGAGGGAAGUGGAAUUCCUGGUGUAGCGGUGAAAUGCGUAGAUAUUAGGAGGAACACCAGUGGCGAAGGCGGCUUACUGGACAGUAACUGACGUUGAGGCUCGAAAGCGUGGGGAGCAAAAAGGAUUAGAUACCCGUGUAGUC